rnacentral:rRNA from 1 species
UACGUAGGUCCCGAGCGUUGUCCGGAUUUAUUGGGCGUAAAGCGAGCGCAGGUGGUUUAUUAAGUCUAGUGUAAAAGGCAGUGGCUCAACCAUUGUAUGCAUUGGAAACUGGUAGACUUGAGUGCAGGAGAGGAGAGUGGAAUUCCAUAUGUAGCGGUGAAAUGCGUAGAUAUAUGGAGGAACACCGGUGGCGAAAGCGGCUCUCUGGCCUGUAACUGACACUGAAGCUCGAAAGCGUGGGGAACAAACAGG